UUAAUGUGUUCACAAAACUGGGAGAGAAACAAAGCUAAAGAUGAUGAGAAGACCGAGGCUGCUAGUUUCUGGAGUUGCCUUGAUGAUAUACAAGAAGGUUUAGAGCGCAUCACACUAUAGAGGGGGUUCCUUCUGUACUUCCUACAAGUCAGCUCAACUUCAACAAACAAUGAUGUCGAACACAUACCAAGGCUGUAGCUGUUAGCUUGCUACCUCUGCAAUACUUUUGCGCACGAUCAUGUUUACCUUAAGUUAGUUAUGGUCACAUGGAACCUUAUGUUGGAGUCAAUAAAUUAUGUCAAGCGAGUCAGACAAAUUUUGUAGUCAAUAAAUUAUGUCAAGCGAGUCAGACAAAUUUCGUCCUUAUUAAAUGUGGUGUUUGCAUUGAUACUCUCUUCAAGCGUGUGCUCACGCUAUUCAAUAUUUCUAUGAUAUUUGUGUUGGAAACAUGCCCAUUAUGGCUUGUUAUGUGUUCAACCAUGGUGCAUACAACAUC